UUGCUUCAGCAGUACAUAUGCUAAAAUUGGAACGAUACAGAGAAGAUUAGCAUUGGCCCCUGUGUAAGGAUGACAUGCAAAUUAGUGAAGUGUUCCAUAUUUUA
rnacentral:snRNA from 1 species